UACGGGGGGGGCAAGCGUUGUUCGGAAUUACUGGGCGUAAAGGGUGCGUAGGCGGUCCGCUAAGUUGGAUGUGAAAACUCUGGGCUUAACCCAGAGCCUGCAUUCAAAACUGACGGGCUAGAGUUCUGGAGGGGGUAGCGGAAUUCCUGGUGUAGCGGUGAAAUGCGUAGAUAUCAGGAGGAACACCGGUGGCGAAGGCGGGUCUCUGGGCCGAUACUGUCGCUGAGGAGCGAAAGCGUGGGGAGCGAACAGG
rnacentral:rRNA from 1 species